AAGGGACAAAAGCACGCGUAGGAAAGGGAAGACAAGUGAAGGGGUGAGGUGCUUACAGAGGACUCUUUCAGGGGUGUUAGGGUUUACUUGAGGCGCCCAGGCUCUUUUCGCCGAAGUUGUUGUCACGUACUGUUUUUGUUCUGGAGACGCUGCAAAGAGGCAACUCAAAGGAUUUGCUUCCCAGACGCUGUUCAGCACUCACCCUUUGAAAGGAUAACAUUCUUAAUAGAUGUUGCUUCUUGCCUCUGUUACCUACACUGUAAGGAUGCUUUGAAAUAGGAAGAAAAAAACCCUUGAGAUUUAGAAGAAAGAAGAAAAACAGAGGAUGUAGCAGGUAACAUCUGCUGGUUUUGAAAACAAAAU
rnacentral:lncRNA from 14 species